rnacentral:tRNA from 1 species
AGAGAAUUGGCCGAGUGGUUUAAGGCGGUAAGUUUGAGUUUUAUUAGGUGUAAGAAGCCGCAUCCCGUUCGAAUCGGAUAUUCUCUG